rnacentral:lncRNA from 1 species
GUCAUCUAUAUUUUGUAACCGUUGGAUUUUUUUUAACCCCCUGUUCUCCGAUGCAUGGACUGGAAAAUAUGGUCUUCAGUAAUCUCCCUAGCCAAUCAACAAUUGGAGAGAAAAAUUUAAAGGAGACACUGAGUGCAAGAUGCUUGGUGAUCUUGCAAGGUGUCAAUACUUGGCAAAACUCACAGUAGAUUAGUGAUGCAGGUAUGUGGUCAUAUAGGCAGUAGCUUUUGCUGGCCAGAUUGAUAAGAGCCAGUCAGUCAUCACUGGUUGGCAAUAAUUAGUAGCUACAACUGCCAUUUGAUAUCCAAAACUUCCAAAUACAAUAGGAAAUGUGAAGAACUUGGAAAAACUGCCAUAGCACCUCAGGGAAACUAAACAGCUUAUGUAUGAAUUAUUCCACUUCAAUCAUGGCACAUCAUGUAAUCAUCCAAUUCAUUUUGGUGCGAACAUUUAUUCAAAUUUUUUAAAAGGAUGAAGAAUCAUGAAAAAUAUUAAAACACUGCAUCAGCUGGCGUCUCUUUUAAAUGGUGCAUCAAAUACAUAUGGUUUGUGAUAUAUGGCAAUGAUAUGUAAGGUCAUGAUAUCUGUUAUUUAAAAUCAUGGCCAAUGAUCACUUUAUGCAUGUAGUCCAAUAAAAAAUUUCCAAUUCUUAAUCAGGAAAAACCAGAAAAAAGAAGAAAUAAAACUAAGCAAAGGUUAAUUUGGGUACUGACUUUACAAUCAUGAAAUAGAGAAUGCCCUGUAGCCCUCCUUCUCAAGCUGUUUUGCCAGUGAAACAUCACCAGUCCUCACAAUU